rnacentral:lncRNA from 1 species
GUCUAGUUACUUAUAUCGACCCAUCUGAAGGUCUACAGUCACCGCGAGCGAUUUGUGUGACCUUAACGGUCCUAACAGUGUAAAUGGGCUCAAGGCCCAUUAUGCUACCCAAAUAGGCCCACAUGCCUAUGUGGCCGAUCAAGCCGAAAAGUUCACCACGGCCAUGCGAACUACACAGCCUACUUUAGUAAUUAACAUAUGUUGUGGAAUUUAUUCGUGUGGGGCCCACACCACUAAUU